GGAGUUAUAGUCAACUAUGGCGUUUGAUUUGCACUCAAAAAGUGCUCUUUUUGAGCUAACUUCA
rnacentral:tRNA from 1 species